AUGACUGCACAGCCGCUUUAUUUCAUUUUACAUCUUGCGUCUCUUAUGUUUCUUCCUUCUUUAGGGCCGUGAUGAAGAGUGCUUCAUAAUUCUGACACCUCUUGUAUGAGAGGAGCUUUUCGGAGCUCUUCUUUGAGCACAUACAGCAACUCUCUGAGCCAUCUUUUUAAUAUUUUUAUUUUCUUUUGGGAUUCUUGACGUUUUAGCAAGAAACUACGAAAGAUAUCUUCUCUCUGUAGUGAUCCCAGAUUUCUUUUAUCUUGAAAGAAGAUUUAAAAUUAAUAGCUUUAUGCCUGAUAUAAUUUGGUUUGAUAUAUUUCACUGGCAAAGCAUGAAAAAAUUGUUUUAUUAUGGAUCAUAACAGCUGUGAUGUGUCCUUGACAUGAGCCGAACCACUGGUUCAAUGCAUUUUUUUCCAGAUACUUUACGUUUGCUGUUGCAAGCUAUCAGGCAGGCCAUCUUUAAACAGUUCCUGCCCUCCUGCAUUUCUCCAUUGACCAUUUCUUUAAACCUCUGUUUUUGAGACAGGAAAGCCAAAUCAUGAUGCCAGACCCUACUCACUGUGAACAAUGAAUGCUUGGAACUUACCUUUAAGAUAAGAAACGGUGUCCAUUGGAUUUCCACCAGAAAAUCCUGGACCUGAACAGAUGGUGGCCGGUUUUAACCCUUUCUCCUCUGCUCUUUUUCAGCCGGCUGUCUGCCCUUGGCUUUCCCAAGGCAUCCCAGCAUAUUCCAAGGCUCAUCCACUACAUUUGGUUUUUUAACACCGGUAAAUUUAACGAAGUAACCAUCUAAGUUCCCUUUGAUGCGAGUAAGAAGUAUAUUUUGACAAAAAAAAGGGAGCAAGCACAGCAUUAUGCAAAAACUAAAAAAUUGAUGUAUUUGUUUAAUUUAAUGAAUAAAAAUUACACGAGUUAAUAUAUUAAUAUUAAUUAUAUGACAAGGGAGCUUUUGAUUUUUCGAUUUAAUUAUAUGACAAUGAAAGAAAUAUAUCGAUUUUUGAUUGUCGAAUAAGAGAUAUAUAAAAUAUUAAUUUGUUGUUUCGAUGAUUUGACAUCCUUUUAUAAAAUUAUCGAAAAGCUAUUAAAAAAACAUAAUAUUAUAUAUUUUUCUAAAGGUUUUAACAUUUUGACAUCUCUCCAAAUUUCAGUGUCGAUAUACAUCAAAUGAAACUUAACAAAUGAAGAACUUUCAAGGAUGCGAAGUAACUGAAACUGUGUCCCAAAGGAGAACUGAUCCCUGGAACCUCAUGAGCUGCCGGUCUUCUCAAGAACUGGAUGCGUUUGUGUUAAAAAAUCACCACUUGUCAGAAGUUUCUGACUCUAAGAAAACUGAAAACAUCAAUAUUUUUCAUGUUA